rnacentral:lncRNA from 1 species
CGCCCUAUUUUUACCUGAGGUCAAAACAAGCACGACGUUAUGGAUUCUAAAAGAAUAAAAAUUGUACAGAGUCGCCACCUUAUUUUAAGGGAAAUGAGGAAAACCUUUUUUUAUUUAUUAAAAUGCAUGACUUGUAUUUUAGUCUAUGAAACCUGUUUAGAUUCUAGGUAAGGGUUCAAGUUAUUCCGAAGGGAAGGGGUUAGGCAUCCUUCAGGAUUCACAAGUGUGGUACCCAGCUAGACUAAAUUUAUCAAAGAGGGAGAAGUUAUAAAUAUUUAAAUAAUAUAAAGUUGUAUGUGUAUUAAAUAUAUAAAUAAAUUUAUUGUUAUGAAAAUAUAUACAUUUUAAUCAAAAAUUACAAAGAAAAAUAUAAAUUCAUUUUUUAAAAGAGAGCCAUGUGAAUGUGAAUUAGUUGAUUAACUUAAUUAUUUUAUGUAAAUAUUAACGGCCUAAGUUUUGCCUAAAAUCAAUGAAAUUAUGUAAAUAAAGACUAUCCCCGCCCGGCACCCAAAAAGUAAAAUCUUCACUGUUUUUUUUUUAUUUGUACAAGUGUGAGAAUAUAAAAUACAAUAUAAAAUUUAAGGACCCCUUUGACUGCAACUCCCGACGAAUAUUUCAAAAUAAUAUGUAUAAACACUUAAAAAAAGAAUAUUAGUAACAAAUAAAAAUAAUCAAAAUAAAUUGAACAAGUAUGUAUGCAUAUAAAUAUUUAAAAAUAUAUUUUUUGUUAAAAAGUGGGCUCAGAUAAUGUCAUGACUGCGAAAUGGUUGCUCAAUUAAUUGGCCGUCCUAAAUCGUCUUGCAACGAAGUGGUUGCUCAAUUAAUUGGCCGUCCUAAAUCGUCUUGCCAAGAUAUGAAUUGUAAAAUCUUGUGUUGUUAUAAAGUUUCAUCAUCGCCCAAAAAUAUUUAUUUUAUAACGUAUAUGUAUACGUAAUAGUCCGUCUUUUUAUUUACGGAGGCCUCAAAAUUGAUAAUAAUUUUUUCAUUGGCCAGAAUGUGUAGUAUCUAUUUAUUAUCAGUAGUGUUAAAAUGUGAGGGACAAAGCACCAGGAUAAUUAUGAAAGAAUAGCAACAAGAGCAGUAAACAAAACAUUUCACAGUAGAAACAAAGCAGCGACGAGAUAAUUUUAGGUCGAAUCUCAACCAAAACCCAGUAAAACAAACAUCAACUUGAAUGUAAUGAUGAAGCAAAAUAUCGCAUCACCCCAAAAUACUUAAUUCCAACCAACAACUAGUAGUAUUCGAAGCAACAAUGUGAAAAACAAACAAAGAGGAACAAAGAGGAAAAGAGUUAUCAUUUUUAUAAAUUUUUAGAUUUGAGAAAGUAAUAUCGGAAAAAACUCAAGGUUUCGAUAUCGCAAUAGUGGUGGCGGCAUCACUUCAACGAUGAAUCGCUGGAGUAAUGCUAAGAUGUAUAAAUUUGGUCAGAUCUGACCCUUUUUCGAUGUUACAACAACAAAAUUGGGGGAGAGAAGGGAAGAUUGAUUGGUGACGGAGGUUUCUUUGUUUUUUUUUUAAGAGAGGGGAGGCAGUAUGGCUGAAGGCUUGCCGGUUAUCACCUCCGGCAAGCUAGCAGUGGAUCUGUAGAGGAACGGAGAAAGGCUGACGGCAUUGGAUCUCGCCGGUGCUCCGGCUGGCAGUGACGGGCGACGUAGAGUUGUUAUUGGUCAUGUGGUGGUGAUGAUGGUGGACGUGCUCCGGCAGAUCUUCGUCGGAGAGAAGCGGAACGGCUGUUGAGGGGAGGAAGAGGAGAGACUCGUUAGCGAGAGAGAAAAGAUGGUGUUUGUGCAUGUAGUGUGUUUUGGGAGAGAAAAGUGAGCAACCAUCUGAUUUUAGUGUGUGUAUAUGUGUGAUGUGUUAGUGUGUGUAAUAUAUAUUUUUUGUGUGUGUUUUUGAAGAGAAAAAUGGAAUAAAUAAAAUAUUCUUGUAUAUUUAUGAAUGUGUGUGUGGGU